rnacentral:rRNA from 1 species
GACGAACGCUGGCGGCGUGCUUAACACAUGCAAGUCGAACGGAAAGGCCCUGCUUUUGUGGGGUGCUCGAGUGGCGAACGGGUGAGUAACACGUGAGUAACCUGCCCUUGACUUUGGGAUAACUUCAGGAAACUGGGGCUAAUACCGGAUAGGAGCUCCUGCUGCAUGGUGGGGGUUGGAAAGUUUCGGCGGUUGGGGAUGGACUCGCGGCUUGACAGCUUGUUGGUGGGGUAGUGGCUUACCAAGGCUUUGACGGGUAGCCGGCCUGGGAGGGUGACCGGCCACAUUGGGGCUGAUAUACGGCCCAGACUCCUACGGGAGGCAGCAGGGGGGAAUAUUGCACAAUGGGCGGAAGCCUGAUGCAGCAGCGCAGCGUGCGGGAUGACGGCCUUCGGGUUGUAAACCGCUUUCGCCUGUGACGAAGCGUGAGUGACGGUAAUGGGUAAAGAAGCACCGGCUAACUACGUG